UGGCUAGAGAGCUUCGUCCGGGGUGUGUAUGCAUGUGUGUGCGUGUGUGUGUGCGUGUGUGGUGGCGCGCGCGCAAAAAGAAACAGCCGGAGAAGCAGAGACACAAAGGGAGACGCGGAGACACCAAGAUAGAGACAGAGACACACACGCACCAGGACCGGGGCCAAGGGGGAGGUCACCGGAGUGUCGUUCUGCGCCCGCCGGCGACUCCCGUGGCCAGCAGUGAGACCCGCUCAUUGUGAAUGGUGCUCCUGAGAGCCUUCCGUGAUUACUACUCAUGUAUUUCUUUCCCUGAGACACCUUCUUGAAGGACUAGCAAACAUAUAUUCAGAUAUAAGACUAAAUUAAUGGAGCCUUCAAAGAGAUUAUGUUCAUCUUGCUGAAACUGAACAAGUGAACAUCACACACCAAGAUUUCAGGUUACUAAAAACUGCAAAAUCUGGAUCUUUUCCUACUUAGAAGCAAGGAAAAAGGAAAAUUGAUAAUC